UACGUAGGGUGCGAGCGUUGUCCGGAAUUAUUGGGCGUAAAGGGCUCGUAGGCGGUCUGUCGCGUCGGGAGUGAAAACUCAGGGCUUAACCCUGAGCCUGCUUCCGAUACGGGCAGACUAGAGGUAUGCAGGGGAGAACGGAAUUCCUAGUGUAGCGGUGAAAUGCGCAGAUAUUAGGAAGAACACCGUUGGCGAAGGCGGCUCUCUGGAACGGUACUGACGCUGAGACGCGAAAGCGUGGGGAGCAAACAGG
rnacentral:rRNA from 1 species